GAUAACUUCCGGUUCAAGAAAUCCGGAUGUACCACAACACACUUUCUGAGGCAGAACGUAAAAGGUAGAGCCACGUUUGGUAUCCGAGGUAUCCUAACAUCUUAACAGUCUCUUUGCUGGAAAGAAAUCUUCAGUGGCUCCCAUUACCUACGGAUCCAGCCUGGCUUUUUAGUCCAGCAUUCAAGACCUGUCAAGCUCUUCUGCAUCCUCUCGUAUGCAUGUGAUAGACAGGCACUCCACCUAGCGAAGUACAACCAUCCCAAACUUAUUCCUAUUACUUUUCUUCCAUUCAUUCGUUCAUACAAUCAAUCAGUCAUCAUUGAGGAUUUAUUAGACGAUAGGUUCUGGAGACAAAAAGGUAGAUAAAUACGACGCAGUCUUUGCUUUUGAGGACUGUAUCCCAGAUACAUCUGACUGGUUGUUCCUGCUGAAACAUUUUUCCACCUCCAUGCUUUUGCAUACACUACUUUCUCCACCUGGAAGACCCUCUCUGCAUUUCUGAACAUGCACUUUUAUUAACUGUCCACAGCUGCAGUGAGGCCUUCUUCAUGAAGCCUCUCCCAGUUCUCCGCCUCACCCCACCAAGCUGGAACUGAUCGCAGCCUCCAAACUCCCACAGCAAUCCUUUGCCUCCUCUUCUGACGCUACUCUUUCUCUCUUGGAUGAAAGCCGUGUGUAUCCAUGUUGGUUCUCCACUUCUAGAACCUGUCGUUUUGGGGCUGCAGGACUUGGUGGAUUCACACUGGCAUCCCCUCAGGAAGCAGGGCAUAGACAAUCCGUGUCCGCCCUUUAAAGAUGCCUGUUAUCUGCAGACCUUCAGGGCAGAGAAGCUGGAAGUUGGAAGGACAUGCAUCAGCCAGGAGAAAACACCCUCUGCCUGGCCUGUUUUCAAUAACAGGAGGAGGAGGCUUGGUGCCGAAAUGGAGGAAUUUCCUCAAACGCCCUCUGCUCCAGAAUGAUCCCUUUUACAAACCUGGCUAAGAAAACAUGGGCAGAGGACUCUGGGAGCUUCAUGCCCUUCUGGCCCUCACCAUUUAUCCAAUUUACACUGAUCAGA
rnacentral:lncRNA from 1 species